rnacentral:rRNA from 1 species
CCUACGGGAGGCAGCAGUAGGGAAUUUUCGUCAAUGGGCGCAAGCCUGAACGAGCAAUGCCGCGUGAACGAGGAAGGGCUUCGGAUCGGAAAGUUCUGUUGAAGGGGAAAAAGAGCGGAGAGAGGAAAUGGUCUCCGAUUGAUAUUACUCUUCGAGGAAGUCACGGCUAACUACGUGCCAGCAGCCGCGGUAGUACGGAGGUGGCGAGCGUUAUCGGGAUUGAUUGGGCGUAAAGGGUGCGUAGGUGGCUUGCUAAGGCUGGAGGGAAAGGGACCGGCUAAACCGGUAAAGGCUCUGGAAACUGGCAGGCUAGAGAGCAGGAGAGGGAGGUGGAAUUCUCGGUGUAGCAGUAAAAUGCGUAGAUAUAGGGAAGAACACUAGUGGCGAAGGCGGGUGCCUGGCCUGUUACUGACGCUGAGGCACGAAAGCGUGGGGAGCAAAUGGGAUUAGAUACCCGAGUAGUC